GCGGGAACACCAAUUAUAAGAUCUAUCUGAUUAGGAGGGAGCAUGCGCUUGAGAAACUGAAAACAAGGCCCCCACAGCUGGAGUGGAGAGGACAAGAUGAUGUUCGGUGUGAGCUAAGACCACAGCGAUGAGGAGGGCCAAAAUCACACCGGGCCACCGGGCCACACGGAGAACGAUGCCCUCUUCUCCAUUGCGCGCAACUGAACCAACAUGGCUGGCAUUCCAGCCUCCCUGCCUGGUGCACACCUGCCAUUGUGUAAGAACCAGCUCAUCAGCCCCUCGGUGACACCAGCUCUACCCUCUCCCCCAUCUCCAGUGCUACUCAAAGGCCCGAGUCCCAUUAACUUCUGUACGCACAGCCCAGCAGAGUCUCUGGUGGAGCUUCCAGACAAGGAUAUAACAAAGAGUUCGUGGUUUCUAGAAGGUUCUCAGAGUGGCAAGGUCUACCUUAGAAUAUGCCGACACCAUUAAGAUCCUUUUUUGGUGAAACGUUUCCAGUGAUACUCAGAUGCCCCUGUUCAGAAAGAGCCCAGCAGGAGCGAACGAAAGCAGAUUCCUCCUCCGAAGAGAGCCCAGGCAACAAAUGGAGGCUGGUAAGAAGCACCCGUUGGUAAGAGAGAUAAGAUGACUUGGAACGAGUCUGAGUAUCAGCAAGCCUGCGUUUUCAAACUCAGGCCAACAGCUCGACGUCUAUUUAUGUCAGGUUAGAUCGCACCCUUUGAUAAAGCAUACGGUCACUAGAAAGUGUCCUUUCCUCCCCCUUCCUUCCUCCUGUAGGCAUAAAUUCCCCCUUAUACAGAUCAGUCUGCAGUCAUGAUUGGGUCCACCCUGAUUCAAAACAACCAGGACUUUCAUCUGAGAGGGGGAAAAAAAAAAAUCUAUCCGAACCCACUGUGUGAAAAUUGUAUGGACCCCAAGCAGUUUUAAUUGAACGUUGUACUUUUUACCAUAUACUUCUGCAUCUUUCGUAAAUGGGUUGGAGGCCACUUUGUAUCCAACACAAUGGUACCAACGUUGAAUUUUAAAAACAAAAAUGAAGGACAAUAGGAAAAACUAGUAACACCAAAGCUUGCGUUGGAAGUGGUCCACUAGAAAGUCCUACAGGAUUGUUUAAGGUAUCUCAAAACUUGGCUCUACUCUGCUUAUGGCCAAGGCAAAGCUUAUGCCAAGCACCGGAGAGGGACGCCUAUAAAGGAAAUCUGUGGGUUUCGAUUAUAUGCGUGUAAGAAAUGACCAGUGCUGAAUGGGGAGAGGUCUGCGGAAGCAGCCCUGUAUAGGGACCUCUAAAUAUCCUUUAAUAAUAUCCACGCCACAGAGGGAAUGAAAGGGCCUGACGGUGGUGUGGCCCCUGCCAAGCAGAGGGAGAUUCUGGUCAAGCUCACAGGAAAGGAAAAGACUGCCUGGGACCAGCAGCCAGCGUGGCUCCGGCCUUUCAAUUUUUUCAUGAAACAAGCCAUGUUUCACCAAGGCGUCCAGGAGGCUUUCAGGGUGGGCGGGGGCUGUCUGUGGGCGGGGCCGAGACGCGUUUGGGCGGGGUGGGCCCCCGGCUGACACCUGCUCCUCACUAGGGUCCCCCGCCGCCCAGCGUGGGCAGGUGUGCUGGCUCCGCCCCUGUGCCUUUGCUAGGAGCCAGGGCCAGAAAGAGCGGCUGUCCCUGGGGGGCCGCGUGGAGGGCUCUAGGAAGGCAGGUGCACCCCAGACAACGCUUCACCCCGCAGUAAAUUCCAUAAUUACAGGUCACCGAGUGGGCGCCCCUUUGAAGUGAGGGACUUUCUUGUUGUUCCUGCGGCGGAUACAAUUUGGCUGAGAUAUCAAAUGCAGAUAGUAAAAAUUUAAUUAACAAAUCAAAGCCUUUAUCUGGAGUUUUUAGAACUGUGGCCAACAGUUUUCUUCAAUCUCAAGAGCUCCAGUCAGAGCCGAAGAGAAGAAAGCAGCGCCUUUGUAGUGCAGAAAACGUACAACUUUUCCUGAUGAUCGCUCUCACAGAUAAGGCUCCUCUUAACUGCCGGCUCCUUCCCUCCUUCGGGAAGAGGCUUUGAGGCCCCUCUGCAAAGGGGCUGCAUUUUUGAGAGCCCUUUGACACUCUGCUCUGGUUAACCCUUUAUCUGGUUAACAGGAUGGUUCUCCCAGCAAGCCAGGCUGUAGGAGAUGAUUAGUCUCCCCUGCGUGGUUGUGUGGACCCACAACACGCCCUGGACCUGGGAGAAACUGAGCCUCCAAAAAGCGAAGAAUGUGUUGUGCCUCCUUGUCCCGACAGAACUCUUACGAAUAAAGCAAGAGGAAAUGAUGCGAGGCCGUGUGUAAUGAACACGUAAUUAGAACAUCAGAAUCCAAAUUUGCGUGUAUGUGCUAUAUACAUGCCCAUCUGUAUAAAGUAAAAUUAUCAUGGUGUCAUCUCUGAAUGUGAUUAAAAGUGAUUUUGAUUUCCA